UUGCCAGACUCCUACGGGAGGCAGCAGUGGGGGAUAUUGCACAAUGGGGGGAACCCUGAUGCAGCGACGCCGCGUGGGUGAAGGAGCGUUUCGGCGCGUAAAGCCCUAUCGGCAGGGAAGAAGGAGGACGGUACCUGACUAAGAAGCCCCGGCUAACUACGUGCCAGCCGCCGCGGUAAUACGUAGGGGGCAAGCGUUAUCCGGAUUUACUGGGUGUAAAGGGGGCGCAGACGGCCAUGGCAAGCCCGGUGUGAAAGGCAGGGGCAUAACCCCUGGACUGCACUGGGAACUGUCAGGCUGGAGUGCCGGAGGGGUAAGCGGAAUUCCUGGUGUAGCGGUGAAAUGCGUAGAUAUCAGGAGGAACACCGGCGGCGAAGGCGGCUUACUGGACGGCAACUGACGUUGAGGCCCGAAAGCGUGGGGAGCGAACAGGAUUAGAUACCCUCGUACU
rnacentral:rRNA from 1 species